AUACGGGAGGCAGCAGUGGGGAAUUUUGGACAAUGGGGGCAACCCUGAUCCAGCCAUGCCGCGUGAGUGAAGAAGGCCUUCGGGUUGUAAAGCUCUUUCAGCCGGGAAGAAAACGCAUGGGUUAAUACCCUGUGUGGAUGACGGUACCGGAAUAAGAAGCACCGGCUAACUACGUGCCAGCAGCCGCGGUAAUACGUAGGGUGCGAGCGUUAAUCGGAAUUACUGGGCGUAAAGCGUGCGCAGGCGGUUUGUUAAGAUAGGCGUGAAAUCCCCGGGCUCAACCUGGGAACUGCGUUUAUGACUGGCAGGCUAGAGUAUGGCAGAGGGGGGUGGAAUUCCACGUGUAGCAGUGAAAUGCGUAGAGAUGUGGAGGAACACCGAUGGCGAAGGCAGCCCCCUGGGCCAAUACUGACGCUCAUGCACGAAAGCGUGGGUAGCAAACAGGAUUAGAUACCCCGGUAGC
rnacentral:rRNA from 1 species